rnacentral:rRNA from 1 species
UACGGAGGGGGUUAGCGUUGUUCGGAAUUACUGGGCGUAAAGCGCGCGUAGGCGGAUUGGAAAGUUGGGGGUGAAAUCCCGAGGCUCAACCUCGGAACUGCCUUCAAAACUCCCAGUCUAGAGUUCGAGAGAGGUGAGUGGAAUUCCAAGUGUAGAGGUGAAAUUCGUAGAUAUUUGGAGGAACACCAGUGGCGAAGGCGGCUCACUGGCUCGAUACUGACGCUGAGGUGCGAAAGUGUGGGGAGCAAACAGG